rnacentral:rRNA from 1 species
UACGUAGGGCGCAAGCGUUAUCCGGAAUUAUUGGGCGUAAAGAGCUCGUAGGCGGUUUGUCGCGUCUGCCGUGAAAGUCCGGGGCUCAACUCCGGAUCUGCGGUGGGUACGGGCAGACUAGAGUGAUGUAGGGGAGACUGGAAUUCCUGGUGUAGCGGUGAAAUGCGCAGAUAUCAGGAGGAACACCGAUGGCGAAGGCAGGUCUCUGGGCAUUAACUGACGCUGACGAGCGAAAGCAUGGGGAGCGAGCAGG